rnacentral:rRNA from 1 species
UACUACCGAAGCUACGGCAUCAGUAAUGAUGGGUAGGGGAGCUUCCCAUACGGGUUGAAGCAUGACCGUAAGGACAUGUGGACAGUAUGGGAGUGAGAAUGUUGGCAUGAGUAGCGAGAUGUGGGUGGGAAUCCCACAGGCCGUAAACCCAAGGUUUCCAGGGGAAGGUUCGUCCGCCCUGGGUUAGUCGGGACCUAAGCUGAGGCCGAAAGGCGUAGGGGAUGGACAACAGGUUGAUAUUCCUGUACUACCGAUAACCGUUUGAGAGAAGGGAUGACACAGUAGGAUAAGCUAAGCACACUGUUGGUUAUGUGUGCCCAAGCAUUGAGGCAGUCAAAGUAGGCAAAUCCGCUUUGAUAAUGCUGGGAUGUGAUGGGGAGCGAAAU